AACCUCCGCAAUGUGAGAAAUCGCGACGGGGGGAUCCCAAGUGCCAUUCUUAACGGGAUGGCUUUUCAUUAGUGUAAAGAGCUUUUGGAAUAAGGGCUGGGCAAGACCGGUGCCAGCCGCCGCGGUAACACCGGCAGCUCUAGUGGUAGCAGUUUUUAUUGGGCCUAAAGCGUCCGUAGCCGGUUUAAUAAGUCUCUGGUGAAAUCCUGUAGCUUAACUGUGGGAAUUGCUGGAGAUACUAUUAGACUUGAGACCGGGAGAGGUUAGAGGUACUCCCAGGGUAGAGGUGAAAUUCUGUAAUCCUGGGAGGACCGCCUGUUGCGAAGGCGUCUAACUGGAACGGUUCUGACGGUGAGGGACGAAAGUUAGGGGCGCGAACCGGAUUUAGAUACCCGGGUAGUCCUAACUGUAAACGAUGCGGACUUGGUGUUGGGGUGGCUUUGAGCUGUCUCAGUGCCGAAGGGAAGCUGUUAAGUCCGCCGCCUGGGAAGUACGGUCGCAAGACUGAAACUUAAAGGAAGU
rnacentral:rRNA from 1 species